GUGAGGAAUAUUGGUCAAUGGACGAGAGUCUGAACCAGCCAAGUCGCGUGAAGGAAGACGGUUCUAUGAAUUGUAAACUUCUUUUGUGCAGGAAUAAAGUGGGUUACGUGUAACCUUUUGUAUGUACUGUACGAAUAAGGAUCGGCUAACUCCGUGCCAGCAGCCGCGGUAAUACGGAGGAUCCGAGCGUUAUCCGGAUUUAUUGGGUUUAAAGGGUGCGUAGGUGGAUUGAUAAGUCAGCGGUGAAAGUUUGCAGCUUAACUGUAAAAUUGCCGUUGAAACUGUCGGUCUUGAGUGCAAAUGAGGGAGGCGGAAUGUGUUGUGUAGCGGUGAAAUGCUUAGAUAUAACACAGAACUCCGAUUGCGAAGGCAGCUUACUGGGAUGCAACUGACACUGAUGCACGAAAGCGUGGGUAUCAAACAGGAUUAGAUACCCCUGUAGUCC
rnacentral:rRNA from 1 species